CGCACCGCGACCGCGGGCAGCUCGGCCUGCCCGAGCGCUCCUUCUGCCGCCGCCGCCACAGCCCCACCGGGCUCCGUCCCGAUGGCGACCUCCGUGGGGAACGUGGCGGACAGCACAGAACCAACGAAACGUAUGCUUUCCUUCCAAGGGUUAGCGGAGUUGGCUCAUCGUGAGUAUCAGGCAGGAGACUUUGAAGCAGCAGAGAGACACUGCAUGCAGCUCUGGAGGCAGGAGCCUGAUAACACAGGGGUGCUUCUGUUACUGUCGUCCAUUCACUUCCAGUGCCGCCGACUGGACAGGUCUGCUCACUUCAGCACUUUGGCUAUUAAACAGAACCCACUGUUGGCCGAAGCAUAUUCAAAUCUGGGCAAUGUGUACAAGGAACGUGGACAGCUGCAGGAGGCAAUCGAACAUUACAGACAUGCACUGCGCCUCAAACCAGAUUUCAUUGAUGGAUAUAUUAAUUUGGCUGCUGCACUGGUAGCUGCAGGUGAUAUGGAAGGAGCAGUACAGGCAUACGUGUCUGCCCUUCAGUACAACCCUGACUUGUACUGUGUUCGUAGUGACCUGGGGAACCUGCUCAAAGCCCUGGGUCGCUUGGAAGAAGCCAAGGCCUGUUACUUAAAAGCAAUUGAGACUCAACCAAACUUUGCAGUGGCUUGGAGUAAUCUUGGCUGUGUUUUCAAUGCCCAAGGAGAAAUUUGGCUUGCAAUUCAUCACUUUGAAAAGGCUGUUACACUUGACCCAAAUUUUUUGGAUGCUUACAUCAAUCUGGGAAAUGUUCUGAAGGAGGCAAGGAUAUUUGACAGAGCUGUAGCAGCUUAUCUCCGAGCCUUGAGCUUGAGUCCAAACCACGCUGUUGUGCACGGCAACCUUGCCUGUGUGUACUAUGAGCAAGGCCUGAUAGACCUGGCAAUAGACACCUACAGGAGGGCUAUUGAGCUCCAACCCCACUUCCCUGAUGCCUACUGCAACUUGGCCAAUGCCUUGAAGGAGAAAGGCAGUGUGGUAGAAGCAGAAGAAUGCUACAAUACAGCCCUUCGACUUUGCCCCACUCAUGCAGACUCUCUCAACAACCUGGCAAACAUCAAACGGGAGCAGGGCAAUAUCGAGGAAGCUGUCCGUCUGUAUCGGAAGGCUCUGGAGGUAUUUCCAGAGUUUGCGGCUGCACAUUCAAACUUAGCAAGUGUCCUGCAACAGCAGGGAAAGCUACAGGAGGCUCUGAUGCAUUACAAAGAGGCUAUUAGAAUCAGCCCCACGUUUGCAGAUGCUUAUUCUAAUAUGGGGAACACUUUGAAGGAGAUGCAGGAUGUUCAAGGAGCUCUGCAGUGCUACACCCGUGCCAUUCAGAUAAACCCAGCUUUUGCUGAUGCCCACAGCAACCUGGCCUCGAUUCACAAGGAUUCAGGGAAUAUACCAGAAGCCAUCGCCUCUUACCGAACUGCUCUGAAACUGAAACCUGAUUUCCCAGAUGCCUAUUGCAACCUGGCCCACUGUUUGCAGAUUGUCUGUGACUGGACAGACUAUGAUGAAAGGAUGAAGAAGCUGGUUAGCAUUGUAGCUGAUCAGCUGGAGAAAAACAGACUGCCUUCUGUCCACCCACAUCACAGCAUGCUGUAUCCCCUUUCUCACAGUUUCAGGAAGGCUAUUGCUGAGAGACAUGGAAAUCUGUGUCUGGACAAGAUUAAUGUUCUUCACAAGCCACCAUAUGAGCAUCCCAAGGAUUUGAAGGCCAGUGAAGGUCGACUUCGUAUUGGCUACGUGAGCUCUGAUUUUGGAAACCAUCCAACCUCACACCUAAUGCAGUCCAUUCCAGGCAUGCAUAACCCAGACAAAUUUGAGGUGUUCUGUUAUGCCCUGAGUCCUGAUGAUGGGACAAAUUUCCGUGUCAAAGUGAUGGCUGAAGCAAAUCAUUUCGUUGACUUAUCUCAGAUACCCUGUAAUGGCAAAGCAGCAGAUCGCAUCCAUCAGGAUGGGAUACACAUUCUCAUUAACAUGAAUGGCUACACCAAAGGAGCCCGAAAUGAAUUAUUUGCCCUGAGACCAGCACCAAUUCAGGCAAUGUGGCUAGGGUAUCCUGGAACCAGUGGGGCAUUGUUCAUGGAUUAUAUCAUCACAGAUAAAGAAACUUCCCCAGUUGAGGUGGCUGAGCAGUAUUCAGAGAAAUUAGCUUACAUGCCAAACACUUUCUUCAUUGGAGACCACGCCAACAUGUUCCCCCAUCUGAAGAAAAAAGCAGUCAUUGAUUUCAAGUCCAAUGGUCAUAUUUAUGAUAACAGGAUUGUUUUGAAUGGCAUUGACCUGAAGGCUUUCCUUGACAGCCUCCCUGAUGUCAAAAUUGUUAAGAUGAAGUGUCCUGACAGUUGUGAAAAUGCCGACGGCAAUGCCGCCCUCAGUAUGCCAGUCAUCCCCAUGAACACCAUUGCAGAAGCUGUCAUUGAGAUGAUUAAUCGUGGGCAAAUUCAGAUUACUAUCAAUGGAUUCAACAUCAGUAAUGGAUUAGCAACCACUCAGUUACUUGGAAUUUCGGGGAGAUAUAGGAAGGGCAUGAAAAUGCCCAGUGUUUUUUGCCUUGGUGGUUGCAACAUUGUGGCAUCCACAAGCGUGUACACAAACCAGUUAAAUUCUUGCUGUGGAUCAACAACAAAGCAGCCACUGGUGAGGAAGUUCCACGGACUAUAAUUGUUACCACCCGCUCUCAGUACGGGUUACCAGAGGAUGCUGUUGUGUACUGCAACUUCAAUCAGCUCUAUAAGAUUGAUCCUUCCACCUUACAGAUGUGGGCUAAUAUCCUAAAAAGAGUCCCAAACAGUGUGCUGUGGCUGCUACGUUUCCCAGCUGUAGGAGAGCCCAAUAUUCAGCAGUAUGCACAAAACUUGGGUCUGGCCCAAAACAGAAUCAUCUUUUCUCCUGUUGCCCCCAAAGAAGAGCAUGUGAGGAGAGGGCAGUUAGCUGAUGUUUGCCUGGACACCCCGCUCUGUAAUGGGCACACAACUGGGAUGGACGUGCUCUGGGCUGGGACUCCAAUGGUUACUAUGCCAGGAGAGACUCUGCCUCACGAGUUGCUGCCUCACAGCUCACUUGCCUGGGUUGUCUUGAGCUCAUUGCAAAAAGUAGACAGGAGUAUGAGGACAUUGCUGUGAAACUGGGAACUGACCUGGAAUACCUGAAAAAAAUCCGUGGCAAAGUCUGGAAGCAGAGAAUAUCGAGCCCUCUGUUCAACACGAAGCAGUACACGACGGACCUGGAGCGGCUCUACCUCCAGAUGUGGGAUCACUACGCUGCAGGCAACAAACCUGACCACAUGAUCAAGCCAGUGGAGGCCAGUGAGUCUGCAUGAAGGGAGACUGCGUGUGCCCACCCGGAAUUCUCCAGGAACUGAGCCUCUCCGACACUUGUGCAGAGACAGCGAGCUAAAAACUGUGCAUUUCUACUUAAUCCGCCUGGUACUCUGUGGCUGAAGUAAUACAUGAUGGUGAUUAAAGCACAGCCAGACUUAUUUCUUGCAUGAUAGGGAAAGACUCAAUAGAGCCUGGGAUCGUUUUAUUCCAUGAGGAAUUUGAAUGGGAUUGAGCCGUGUACAUGUGAGCCUGUGUGUAUGAGUGACAAAGUGGUUGCUGGGGGAAGUUUUGAACUGCCCAACCAAUUAUGAUGCCAUGGAUUGACUUAAUCUUCCUAUGAAGCUCUCUCCUUUUAUGUGGAUUGGGAAUUGGAGCAUUUUAACAUUUGAUUUUGGGUAGUCCUGUUGGUAUAUAUGUGGUUCUCCCAUGACAAGAUUUCCAGCUAGCGAGUUGCUCCCUGUGUUAAUUUCUAAACUGCGUGGACUGAAAGGGCAUAUGUGCUGGUGUAGUCUUUUUUUAUAGGUUUUAUAAACCACUUGAGCCUAUAUCAGCCUUUUAAUGUUUGACCUCUGUUUUGGAGCUCUCUGUAAUGUGUUGGUUAAGAUAAGGACUUUGUUUGUUUUGUUUUGUUUUUUUAAGCUUCUCCAAUACUCAGCUAAUUGGCUUCAUGAUGGCAGCUCCUAUUCUGUUGGAAAAAAACCCCACAACAGCCAACCAACCAAAUUCGAUUUGAAAUCAAUCCUCCCCACAAGUGUUUGAGGUAAACACAAACUGGUGCCAAAUACAGAUCUUUCAGGAAUGAUUGUUAAUUAUGUAUAGGAGUGCAGUCCUAGGUACUGUAGCAAAGACUUUAAACAAAAAAGAAAAAGAAAUUAAAAAAACCCCACCACAACAGAAGAAUAAAGCUUUGGUUUGCCAGUUU